rnacentral:lncRNA from 1 species
CAUAUUUAAAACAUCCAACAGCAGCAACCUCUUAAUCUCAAGGUUCCCUCUUAGAGCUGUGCAACAUUUUCAGACUCCAACCAAUCCUUGCACCCUUAUUUAUUGCCAACAAUUUGUAAUUCUUGACAAUUUAUGUAAAUAACUCUGGCCUUGAAGUUUUUGCCUUUAUAAGCAUCCUCCAUUUUGUUGUCUGGUUCAAGGUUUUUUCCACCUUGAGAUUCAGGUUUCAUGGGGUUUUUUUCUCUGCCACUUACGUAGAAAUUUGAGUUUCAUGUUUUCUUUUCACUUUUGGUGAUUUCUCAGAAUAAUGAGAUGUUCAUGUUGCAACAGAACAAACGGUGGGGAAAAAAUGUAAUUGUAAUGUAUACAUAUAAGGAUAACUUUAUCCCCUUGCUGUACAGUGGGAAAAUAAAAAAAAAAAAGAAUGAUGAGAAGUUCUUAUAGGAGACAUUCAAAGAAAGGUGAACCCCCUCCCCAGGAACCCUUCCUGACUUUAUGUUUAACACCUAUAGAACUUUAUUCUAUAACUGCCUAUAUAAAUGUGUUCAUUUAGCUUGAGAUGAUUUAAAGUUACAUUGUUCAAAAUGGGAAACUUUCGAACCUCCAAAUUAGUCGUGACUAGAGAAAAGUAUCAGAACCAGACAUAUAAAGGUAAGUACAGUGUAACUGGUACUAGAGGUACAUAACACUGAGAAAAUUGUCUCCCUCCAAGUUGUAGAUGAAAAGUUGAUACAGACUGUCCUAAAACUUGAAAAAUCAGUUGAACAUUGUCACCCUUCUCCUACUCUCUUCCCAAAUUCUUCAUCUUCCUCUAUCCCUUUACCUGCCUCUUUCCAAACUCCUUUUUUUUAUCCAACUGAUUCCCUCCACAUUACUCCUCCACCAGACCCCCUUCCUCCUCUUCUUCCUCUACUAAUGGGUAUUCCUGAGCCUGAAGUCCUUCUCUACCUCCCUGUUCUGACAGCCCCUUUAAAAACUAAGCCCACUAGACAAAGGGGUAAAAGCAGCCCCAUCUCAGCAAUUUCCCAAGCUUUCUUACAAAUAAUCAGAAAAUAAAUCAGCUGGAAGCCAAUAUUCAAGGACUAAUAGAAAAAACAGCCUUUGUCUUAACAAUUUCUACAAAACCAGAAGUACAACUCUAGAAACAAGCCA